GGGGGCGGAUGGUGACUGGUGUCGCCUGCGGCCUUCAAAGCCGUCACGGGGCGUGAACAGCGUCCCGGGUGGGUUCGAUUCCCACACGCUCCCGCCA
rnacentral:tRNA from 1 species